UACGGGGGGGGCAAGCGUUGUUCGGAAUUACUGGGCGUAAAGGGCUCGUAGGCGGCCAACUAAGUCAGACGUGAAAUCCCCAGCUUAACCUGGGAACUGCGUCUGAUACUGGAUGGCUUGAAUUCGGGAGAGGGAUGCAGAAUUCCAGGUGUAGCGGUGAAAUGCGUAGAUAUCUGGAGGAACACCGGUGGCGAAGGCGGCAUCCUGGACCGGUAUUGACGCUGAGGCGCGAAAGCCAGGGGAGCAAACGGG
rnacentral:rRNA from 1 species